GCGCGGUGAGGUUGAGGGGGACCUGGUGGCUCCCCUCAGCCCAUCAAGACAGAUGUCCUCGGGGUUGAGGGUGGCUGCUAACUGCAGGCAAGUCCGGGCGGCGCCCCCGCGGAUCAGACGAGCUGGGCAGGCGGCUCCUUCGCACGCUGGGCUGAGCCUGGAGGUCUGCGGCUUGGGACUAGCGCGACCGCCGAGGUCCACCUUAGUGGGGUGGGCAGCGUCCCCCUGCAAGAAUGCUCUCGGGACUUGGGAGAGGAAGGAGAAAGGACAAGACCCCGAGGAAAGGAACCGUCGGUGUUUUAUGUCUGUGCUUUAAAAGAGGCAACCAGUUCCCGGGAAGGCUGGGUUAGCCGAGGCAACCCUUACAGCGCUGCCUAGAAGCGCACAGGUCCAAGCCUUGGCCAACCAACUAACGACGUGUCGGGUGGCUUGAGGCACUGCCACUUUAACACCGGGACAUGAAAUAACCGCCAGGGUGGGUUCGUAUGCCCACCUUGCUUAUCUGUUGGCAAGAAGCAAAUGCAAGAAAUAACACAACAUGACAACGCUUACAACGGCAGCACUUUCACUAGACAAAAGCCAAUUUUACCUUCCCGCAACCCUCCGAACCUUUGGAACUUUUAUUUGCGGCAUUUGGGCGCCCUCUGGCUGUGCAUGGAUUGCUUUCAAUUGAGUUGCAAGUUCUCCUUCAAGGUGGAUCUGCGCUCCUGACCUGUGCGUGGAUUUGCGGGUAGCGUUGUCUUCCAAAAUGACCAAAUGCCACCAUAGUUAAAAAAGAGGACGCCAAAGGCAAGUGCGUCCGCAUUCAACUGAGGAAAGUAAUGGCACAGAAAGGCACUGGUUGGAAUGAUCCAGUCCAGGGAAAAAAUACAUACAACACCAAGUAAAAUUCACCUAUCACAGUAAAGGACCCAGAAUCUCAAAAAUAUGGGUGCGGAAGAGCGGCACAGCAGGAGAUUAAGGAAGACAGAUUGGGAUGGACCGCCCCCAACCCCAGAACAAAGAAUGGAAAAACAGCUCAAAAAGAACAUCAUGAUGUGUGGCCGUGCUAAUGGUGCGACAUUUUGUGAACAAGGCCCCGGGGGUUGUGCAGUCCACAACCUGAACAACCUGAUGCUGCAGCUUUGCCAGCACGAGUUCUAACAGAAUGUGUACAUGGCACGUUGGGAGCACGGCAGGCAGAGUGGUCAACUCUCUUCGAGAAGAUCAGGGAAAGCUGUACAAAAUGAGUAAUUGACCUGAACCCUGAAGCACGAGUCGGGGUUUUCUACUCUUUCCAAGGUCUGGGGAAGGUGUUGUAGGGAGAAGAAAGAGUGUGUGAUGAGUCAUGGAAGCAUAAAACAGCACCACAUCCUAGUACUGCAAGAUUAGCAAGGACUGGGGAAGCCCUAGAGCAGGGGAGAUAAUGGGAGCACAGCUGGAGGCAAAGCUGAAGACACUCUCAUGUGGGGACUUGCCUGCUAUGCCACUGCAUCUGAAUAAUGGGGAGCCUGCAGCGGGGAGGAUCUGGGGCCCAUGUCCUUGAGAGAACGGGUUACUGGAGAGAGCAAGAUGGAGUCUCUCACGUCAAGCAGGGGCCUGUGUCGAGCAAUGACGGGAGCGGUUCAGGGGCUGCUGCUAGGAGAUACCGCCCAGACCAGAGUCAGCUGAUCCCCCAGAACUGAUAACGAGCAGAACCAGAGGAGGUCUGCAGGGGCCCAAGACCAGCUAAAUCCCUUUAAAAAGGGAGGAUUUCGGCAGCAAACCAUCAGACUCUUCAGACCUGACCCCUCUACGUCUGACCACUUAAAAGGGCAGCUGCCGCCGGAAGGUCUGCCGAUGGAUCCCAGAACAGAACCAAGAUCCUUCCCUGCUUGAACCGAAGGAGCAGGUCUGCUUCUUGUGAGACUCAAAUCGAAACAGGAGGCUAUUGCUGUCGAAGUUUUCAGAGGUGAUGCUGUUUGGGAGUAAAAGGGUGCAGAACAUACCAGUGGAAGAGCGUUGCCAGAAUGCUGCAGAGGGAAAGAAAUAUCUGAGGAAGAUAAGAUGACGUCUGAGGAGAAUUCAUUGGGGGCGCCUCGCUGGCUUAGUCAGUGGAGUGUAUGACCUCAGGGUUGUGAGUUCCACAUUGGAUGUAGA